ACUAAAUCUUCAAAAAUCAAGGCACCACCUGGAUGUAGAGUGCUAUAUGGUGAUUCAAGUGUUGAGAGUUCUCUUUCUUCUGCUAUCCAUAAAUUUAUGGAAUGGAAAGGCAAUGAUCAUGACACUAUUUUUUGUCAGAUAAACACAGGUUUCAUAUGCUUCAACUCUGUGGUGCUUCACAGCACACGGAUAAAACUUCCAAACAUUCUGCACCCAAUAUUACCAUAAUGCAUUUGGACAUUUCAUUAACAACUUCUUACAAUUAGCCUUUCUAUAUUGAAAAUAAUUCGUUGUCUUAACUUCCUGUUGCUCCUAGUUUCAGAAUUUUCCAUCCACAUCGUUGAACUCAAAUUCUGGUUCUGUCUCUAACCCAUCAACUCCGUGGCUUUUAUCGGAGGAACUUGAUUCCAAGGCUACUCAUGUUUAUUCUCUUGGUGAAAAUGAAUUGUCAGGUGAUACUGGCCGAACCUGUCAAAAAUAAAUGAGUCAUAGUUUGUUUGAUCAUUCAUUUUCUAAUCUUUCUUCUUUAUAUUUAAUUAGUUGUUUAAUUUCUUAAAAAAGAAUUCUGGUUUAUUUAUAGUAUAUUUGGUAGUAUGCAUGCCUCAGCUCCUUUAAUGCAUGUCUCUUACAGUAUAUUUGGUAGUCUUUUAUAAUGUUACACCCUUUUUUUUAAUUCCUAAAACCUUUUAACUUUCCAAAUUUUCAUUCAUUCUUUUAGAAAAUUAUUUUCAUUAUUUUUUUAUGGUUACAAAACCAUCCAUUAACUACAUUAAUUAGACAAUUCACUCCAAUAAUAAAUAAAUAACUUUUUUGGAUCUAAGGUCUUUUCUCAUUCUACAAAUUUAAUUUACUAUAUAAAGGUUAUUAUGCUAAUUGAAAAAUAUAUUUCUCUCAAGUAUGCAAUGACAGAAAAUUAGGUUAUAACUAUAUAAAAAAUAUAUUUUUAGGUAUUAUAAUUUUUUUAAAAAAAUUAUAUUUUAAAUUUUUAAUAAAACCUUGCAUUUGGGGAUUCACAUGUUGUUACUUGUCGAACCAAAAAAGAUAAAUUCGUGGUGAAAACUCUUUAAAAGCCCAAUUCGUGGAAGGAAAAAUUGAACUGUGGCGUUGAGUUAUUUUGUUGUUGAAGAAGAUCGGUAAAAAACCCACAGCAUUAAAACUUCUUUUUGUUUCUUUAAGUAUAUUUUAGAUUGCAGCGUAUUUUCUAUUUGGGUUUAGUUAGGGUUUCUCUUGUUUAUUCCAAGAUAUGCAUGGAUAAUUCAUGUUCGACUAUUUGGAAAGAGGGAUUUAUGUAGCACGGGUAUUAUAUUAUGGUUUUGGAAGUGUCGAGAUAAAUUAAGGACUUUUUUAAUCUUCUUCAAACAAACCUAUACGAAGGCGAAGAAUAAUUUGUGCUUGUAUUUUAGUCGGAAUAAGAAGAAACAUGAAGAGAAUGCCCACGAGGAAAAUGACCAUGAGAAAAAGUUGUGUAUUCCUCCAUCCAUAACUGAGCACUCUAAUGUGUAUUCCUCCCUCCAUAACUGGCUUACUUUGGACUGUUUGGAUAGAAAGAAACAAUAGAAUUUUUAAGGAUAAAUCAAGGUUUAUUGUUAACUUGUGGGAAGACAUAUGUAACUUGAUCGGAGUUUGGUCUAGGCGUCAUUCAUCUUGUAACCAAUAUGAUGUUAAUUACUACCAACUCUUAACUUUAAGCUUUGUUAGAUUAGGUUGUUCCGGGCUGAUAGAACUAAGUCAUGCACAUCGGAAAAAGAAUCGAAUUUCUACCCUAAUUGCCACAAUUAACAUGUAACCAUAAACAAAUCAAAUUAGGGUUUUAAGAAAUAUUACCUUUGAAGCUUUCAAAAGGUUUGAUAUCUUCUUACCAAUUCUAACCGAGACACCACUAGUACUCAACUGCUAUCCUCUAGACAAAGAACUGGGUUGUGGGACCCAAUUUUGGUGUAGAAAGUAAUGGAGAUAAAAUGAGAUUGGAAGCUUUCUUUUUUCUUUUGUUGAGAUGAUGAAAAUGAUAAAAGAGGCAAAAGUUCUUCAACAUUUGAAAACACCUCUAUUUAUAGCCUAAUUACAUGCAAAAAUGCAUGCAAUUCAUUUGCCAAUUCUCAACACCUAAUGUUCCACUAACAAUUAGUGGAACUUAGUGGGCUAGGUGUCUAUAUCUCAUAUAGCCACAUAUCCCACUAAGAGUGUGGGAUUAUCCAACAAAAUGUUGGAUUUUCCCACUAACUUAGUCCAAGGGUAAAAUGGUCAUUAGAUAUUUCUAGUCAAAAGUCAAACUUUGACUUUUCUUAGUCAAAAGUCAAUAUCUUGACUUUUUACCAUUUUGUCCGUCUUGACUAAUUCCAACCUCCGAGCAUGAAUCCGCAUUCAUUUUUCCAAAAUUCAAAUCACAUUUGAAUAUAAGGCUGGUCAAAGUUUGACUUUUCAAAGUUAAAAGUCAACAUUUUGACUUUUUACUAUUUUUGACCAAUUCGAGCUUCUUAGUAUGAAUCCGCAUUCAUACUUAUAGUAUGUAAAACAUAAAGCUCUAUUUCUAAUUAGAAGAUCGACGACUAUAUACACUGUAUAUGUCGGUUUCCCUUUCUUCUCCCAAUUCGAACAAUUCGACUUAUUUCAUCACACUGUUCUAAGUUUAAUCCAUAUGAGCUAGCAGAGGAACCUAAUGGACCUAUAGAUCAUGGGCUCCAACGAUUCAAGAUUAACUAGCUAAACUCUUUUAAACCGAGUUAAUCAACAUUCGUUAACUAACGAGUCAUUCCACUAAAGUCCCGUAGUUGCACUCCCCUCACUAUAGAUAUAUUUGUGUCCAUUUGAUAAAACCAUAAUCAGUAAGGUAAUCCUUCACAGGUUGCUCGUAACCUUGGCUGGGUCAAAAUACCGUUUUACCCCCAAGAUUACAUCUUGCUCCUUAAGUCCCACUAAUCCACUAUUGAACAAUUGGUUUAAGGUUCAACCUAUAAACUUAAUCCCUCUCGGGCCAAUGAGAGGGUGGGGCCCCUUGUUCAAGACUUGGAUUCAGUGCUUAAGAGAGCAACCUAUCUACUAACCCUAAAGCGGGUAGGAGUGAAUUCCAUCUUGUACCCUAUGUUCCCAGCUAACCACCCGAUCUUACCCCUGAAAUGGGAGGCUUAUUGGGCCAACGCUGAUGAGCUACCCUCACCUUUAUUUCAUAUACUAUAGACUAUUUAGGCUAUAUACUCGAACUUGAUCCACGUUUAUGUUUACACAUAAAGUUCAAGUUUAUUCAAAAAAAUAGCCUUGGAACUUGAUUUAUUGGAUUUAAGAUUAUAAUAUUUAAUUUCUCAAUAACAACUUUAUUGAACAGAAUAUUAUUUACAAACUACGAGUUUUAGGACAAUAAAUUCCAACAAACUCCCUUGGACUAAAAUUCCUAGUGGUAUGAGAGAUGUGGUGUGAGAGAAUAUAAAACUAGGGCACAUGGCCAAUAAGUCUCCCACUUGUCCUAGUUUACAAACAUCGUAGACCUAAACUGUGUAGGUGACCCUCAAACACUUUAGCCGUGAGGGCUUUUGUAAAAGGAUCAGCAAUGUUUUGCUGAGAAGAAAUCUGGGUUACUACAACGUCACCACGAUGUACAAUUUCCCUGAUAAGAUGGUACUUGCGUUCAAUAUGCUUUCCUCUUUUAUGGCUUCUAGGUUCUCUUGAAUUUGCAACUGCACCACUGUUGUCACAGUAUAAAGUGAUUGGUAGAUGCAUAUUUGGAACGACUUCCAAAUCUGUCAAGAAUUUUCUUAGCCAUACUGCUUCUUUUGCUGCUUCACAAGUCGCUACGUAUUCAGCUUCCAUUGUGGAAUCAGCUAUACAAGUUUGCUUUAUGCUUCUCCAAACUACUGCUCCUCCAUUUAGAGUAAAUACUGAUCCUGAUGUAGACUUUCUAGCAUCUUUAUCAGUUUGGAAAUCUGAAUCAGUGUAUCCAGUAAGGAUCAGAUCCUUUGUACCAUACAUGAACAUGUAGUCUUUUGUUCUUCGAAGAUAUUUUAGAAUGUUUUUAACGGCUGUCCAGUGAUCACGUCCAGGAUUGGAUUGAUACCUACUGACCAUCCCUACUGAGUAGCAAAUGUCAGGUCUAGUACAUAACAUUGCAUACAUUAAACUUCCAACAGCGGAAGCAUAGGGAAUAUUUCUCAUAUCCUCAACUUCUUGAGGUGUCUUAGGACAUUGUUCCUUUGACAAAUGAAUUCCAUAUCUGUACGACAGCAGACCCUUUUUGGAGUUCUGCAUUUUAUAUCUAGACAACAUUUUGUCUAUGUAAGAUGCUUGAGACAUGGCUAGUGUUUUGUUCUUACGGUUUCGAACAAUUUGGAUUCCGAGAACGUAUUGUGCAUCUCCCAGAUCUUUCAUUUGAAAUUGCAUAGCUAGCCAUUUCUUGAUAUCAGUAAGAUAUCCUACGUCAUUUCCAAUAAGUAGAAUAUCAUCUACAUAUAAGACUAAAAAUGCUAUAAUGGAAUUGACGACCUUUUUGUAAACACAAGGCUCGUCAACAUUUUGUUCAAAGCCAUAAGAUUUGAUCGCAGUAUCAAAUCUUAUAUUCCAGGAUCUAGAAGCUUGUUUUAAUCCAUAAAUGGAUUUUUUAAGCUUACAAACCUUUUGUUCUUGAUCUUGUUCUAUAAACCCCUCUGGUUGAGACAUAUAGAUACUCUUCUUCAAGAUUACCAUUCAAAAAGCUGUCUUGACAUCCAUCUGCCAAAUUUCAUAAUCAUAAAAAGUGGCGAUGGAUAAGAGUAUUCUAAUUGACAUUAACAUGGCAACAGGAGAGAAAGUUUCCUCAUAGUCUACUCCCUCUCUCUGGGUAUAACCCUUUGCCACAAGUCGAGCCUUGAAAGUCUGUACUUACCGGCAUGGUCUCGUUUUCUCUUGUAGAUCCAUUUACAACCAGUAGGUUUUACGUCAUUUGGUUGAUCUACUAGAGUCCAGACAGAAUUAAAGUACAUAGACUCCAUUUCGAGUCCAUGGCUUUGAUCCAUUGGUCACGAUCUACAUCUUUCAUUGCCUGUUUAUAGGUUAAUGGAUCCUCUAUGCCAUCGUCAGGUAUGACGACUUGAGUUUCAAUUAAACCCAAAUAGCGAUCAGGCUGAUGAACAACCCUCCCACUACGUCGAGGCUCUCUCAACUGUUGAGAAGGAUGUGAUUGUCCAGAUUUCCUAGUCUUAUCAACUACCUUAGUGGAUGAACUAGGUUUAUCUAUAGCACUUUUGGAAAUUUCUUUUAAUACUAGUUUACUACGAGGUUGAUGAUCCCUGAUGUGGUCUUCCUCUAAGAAUGUGGCAUUUGUUGACACAAAUAUUUUAUUUUCUUGAGGAUCAUAAAACAAACCACCUCUUGAUUCUUUUGGAUAACCUAUAAAAAAGCAUAAUUUUGAACGAUGUUCCAAUUUCUUUGGAUUUUGUACCAACACGUGUGCUGGACAACCCCAAAUUCUAAAAUGACGUAAACUGCCUUUACGCCCUUUCCAUAGCUCAUAAGGUGUUUCUGAAACACUUUUAGAGGGAACAUUAUUCAAAAUAUAAGCAGCUGUUUCUAAAGCAUAUCCCCAAAAAGAAUCUGACAUCUGAGAAAAACUUAUCAUAGAGCGAACCAUGUCUAACAAGGUCCGGUUUCUUCUUUCUGAUACACCGUUCUGUUGAGGUGUACUAGGUGCAGAGAGUUGUGACUGGAUUCCAUUUUCUAUUAAAUAGUCUCGGAAUCGUAAGUCCAUAUACUCUCCACCUCGAUCUGAUCGAAGUAUUUUUAUUGUUUUACCUAAUUCGUUUUCUACUUCAGCCUUAUAUUCUUUGAACUUUUCAAGACUAUUAGACUUAUGAUGUAUUAGGUAAAUAUGACCAUACCUUGAAUAAUCAUCAAUGAAGCUAAUGAAAUAUUCAUAUCCACCUCGAGCUUUGACAUUCAUUGGUCCACAAAGGUCCGAAUGUACGAGCUCUAAGGGUCCUUUGGCUCUUAGACCUUUUCCAGUAAAAGAUCUCUUGGUCAUUUUUCCUUCAAGACAAGAUUCACAAGGAGGUAAAGAGUUAUCUUCUAACGGACUUAGAAGCCCACUUUUAACCAAUCUCCCAAUCCUAUUGAGAUUUAUGUGACCAAGUCUUAAGUGCCAUAAAUAGGCAUUAGAAGAAACUUUUUGUCUUUUAUUCUGAGUUUCAGCUGUUCUGAAUAUUUCAGUAUUUAAGACAAAAUUUGCUCUAGUUGGUCUUAACUUAUAUAAGUUGUCUUCAAGUAUAGCAGAACAAACUAGAAUACCUUUAUAGAAAACGAACGCUUCAUUAAUUUCAAAAGAUAUUCUAUACAUUUGUUCCAAAAUACAAGAGAUAGAUAUUAAAUUUCUUUUCAUUUGAGGUACAUAUAAGACAUUCUUAAGUAUGACAUAUCUAUCUCUAAAAAACAACUUUAAAUCUCCCACUGCUGAAGCUGAGACCAUCUCUCCUGUUCCAACCUUGAGAGUGAUCUCGCCUUCUGAAAGCUUUUUCCAAGAACUAUUUUCCUGAAAUGAGAAGCAAAUAUGGUUAGUGGCUCCUGAAUCUAGUAUCCAGGUAGAAUUUUCAUAUUCCACUAAACAUGUUUCUACAACUAGUAAAUCAUAUUUACCUUGUGUUUCCUUCUCUGCCUUUUUUUCUGCAAGGUAUUUUGGGCAGUUUCUUAACCAGUGCCCGUUUUGGCCACAAUGGUAACACUUACCUUUUUCUGCAGCUUUCUUACCCUUGUUCUGUUUGGGAGUCUUUCCCUUUCCCUUCUUUUUUAUUUGAGCAUUAGGUUUUGAGGGUCCAGCUUUGGUUUUAGAGGACGAUCCUCUUAUAAAUUUUCUUUUUGUGGUAGCAACAUUUGCUUCCACUUGUUUUCCUUUACCCAUAGUUAGGUUUUGGAAUCGCUGGAGUUCAUUCAGAAGGGUUGUCAAGUUAAAUUCUAUCUUGUUCAAAGACGCAUUCGUUUGGAAUGGAAUGAAGCUCUUCGGAAGAGACUCUAAGAUAAAACUAACUUGAUUAACCUCUUCGAUGGGACCACCAUUCACUUCAGCGAUGUUGAAGUGCAUCAUCAUGUCCAGAACAUGUUCUCUAACAGAGGUCCCUUCCUUCAUACGCUUAGUGUAAAUGUAUUUGACUGCCUCGUGUCUUAAGGACCAUUCUGGUUGCCCAAACAUUCCCCUUAAUGAAUCCAUAAUCUCUUUAGCCGUGGCUAAGGAUUCAUGUUUCUUUGCCAAUACAUCAGACAUGCUGGCAAGAAUGUAAACACGGGCUUUUUCAUUAGCUUUUAUCCAUCGAUCAUAUGCAUCCCGACUAGUUCGGUUAGCAUUAGAGGCAGGGUUUUGAGGACAUUCCUCAGUUAAGACAAAUCUUAAAUCGUCAACCACUAGUAUUGUGUUAAGAUUUGAUUUCCAAGCCGCAUAAUUAUCGCCAUUAAGUUUUUCGGAAGCUAAAAGUUGAACUAUUGAGCUAUUCAUGCUGAAAAACAAACAUAUUCUUUUUAGGAAAAAACUAUAAUCAUAAAAAAUAUCCAAUCUAAUUUAGCAAUUACUAAUAAUGUACCCUUUCAUUAUUUGUAUUUUGCAACAAUAUUUCAAAGGUUUAGAACAACCUUCUCCGAAGGGUAGUUGAUUAUUCCUCCUUUGAACCAAGACAAUCUUGACUAGAUGCUAUCUCAAGAAUAACUCUUUAUUCUUUAUAGCACUUAGUUAUCGCUACUUUAGUCAAGAAUAUACUAACAACUUAGUAAUUCUUGUAAGUGUUACCCACCAUUUUCAGAUUUUAUAGAUUAGAAUCAUUUAUGAAAACUAAUCUAAGAAAUCCUAUCCAGUUUUGGAGUUCGCGGUGUUCCGAAUCCUAUAAUACAACCCUCCGAAGGGAACGUCGCUCCAGGGCAGACAAGCAGGCAUAUUAUAGAAAUCUCACGGUGCGACCUAAUGGAAGAGACCGUGGGAUGUGCUGCACAAAUCCCUCACCCACUUACUAUGAACUACUUCCCCUAUUCACCUUGAUUUUGAUCCAUGCAAACACUCUCCGAAGGGAGGCCGCUCCUAUGCACGGCACAAAGCCCUGCAUGGACCUCACGGUGUGAACUCUUAGGGACACUAGAGCUAAAAUACAUUAUUUUUCUCUAGUUGAAGUGUUCUAAGAAAAAAUAGGGUAAUCCAAGCUUCAAGAUUUAUAUUUAGGCUAACUUAAACAAAUCUUAAGUCUAGAUAAAACAUCCAAGUAUAACCAUUAUACAGGAUUUUAACCUAUGAUGUCUAGGUGAAAACCAUUUUAUUACCUCACACCUUCACGAAUGCUCAUAAAACUAGGUUAACUAGGCUCAAGAACUGAUUACGAUCUCCAGGUAGGAGGUGUUCCGUAAACCGUCAACUUAAGAACCUCCAACCUUAGUCAUCUUAUCUGACUUGUUGACAAGAUUGAACCAGGUGAGCCUUUUGUAACCAGUUUUACAAGAUAUCGACCUAUUUCUAUGAAAAAUGGAAGAUAUGUUUAACCUAAGUGAGCAUGCAUUUAAUCUUUGUUAUUGAUUUUAAAAGUCUAAUUUAUUUUAUAACACUUAUAAAAACUUUUAAACUUAAUCAAUCAUUUUAUCAAUAUAUAACUUAUAAAAACAAUCAAUUAAUAUGGAUUUUAAUUUAUUUAACUUUAAUUAAAUCAUAUUUAAAUCAAACAAUAAUUAAUUAAUUUGAUUAAAUCAUAUUUAAUCAAGAAUAACUUAAUUAAUUAAAUUUAAUUAAUCAUAUUAAUUAAUUUCCAUAUUAAUCAAUUAACAUGCAUACAAUACAAUAUAACCUUUAUAUCAUACAUUUUAAUGCAUGAACAUGUUAACCUAUGGUGGGAUUUUAAAUCUAUAUGACAUUCAAAAUGCACAUACAAAUUUAAAGUAAUUUAAUCAUACAUCACAUGCAUAAAUAAAAAAAACACCCUAAAAUGGACUGAUUUUUGGCUCCUAAAUUAAGCUAAGUACUAAAUUAUUACAUAAUUAAUUUGGUGUAGUACAGAACCACUCCCAAAAACUUCGAACCGGCUGAAAAAACCAACCGAAACCGCUUGAACCGGCCCAGGCGCACACGGGUCGGCGAAGGCAGGCGCGGGGACGCAGGGGGCGCAGGAGGCGCGCGGGCGCGUGCGGACGCAGGAGGCGCGCGCAUGCGGGCGCGCGGCGCGUGCGGGUCGCGAAGCGGGUCAAGGCGGGUUUUCGGGUCUGUGACCUUCUUUUCUUCAUUUUUUUUCAAUUCUCUCACCCGGUUGAACCAGUUACAGCCUAACUUCAACUCUAAUGACUUUUUUUAUUUUUUAAAAAAUUACAAACACUUUGCAACAAUAAAAAUAAGCCAUUAACAAGGCUAAUUACAAUAAUUAGAACAAAAACACUUAAUCUAGAGCCAAAAUCAUAAUAUAUCCAUUUUAGUUCAAACCAAAAUUUAUCUAAUAAAUAUGAACCCACCACAUGCAAUUGGGUAAAAAUGAAGCAUGCUCUGAUACCACAUGAUAGAACUAAGUCAUGCACAGCGGAAAAAGAAUCGAAUUUCUACCCUAAUUGCCACAAUUAACAUGUAACCAUAAACUAAUCAAAUUAGGGUUUUAAGAAAUAUUACCUUUGAAGCUUUCAAAAGGUUUGAUAUCUUCUUACCAAUUCUAACCGAGACCACCACUAGUACUCAACUGCUAUCCUCUAGACAAAGAACCGGGUUGUGGGACCCAAUUUUGGUGUAGAAAGUAAUGGAGAUAAAAUGAGAUUGGAAGCUUUCUUUUUUCUUUUGUUGAGAUGAUGAAAAUGAUAAAAGAGGCAAAAGUCUUCAACAUUUGAAAACACCUCUAUUUAUAGCCUAAUUACAUGCAAAAAUGCAUGCAAUUCAUUUGCCAAAUCUCAACACCUAAUGUUCCACUAACAAUUAGUGGAACUUAGUGGGCUAGGUGUCUAUAUCUCAUAUAGCCACAUAUCCCACUAAGAGUUAGU
rnacentral:lncRNA from 1 species